CUGUUUCACUCCACUCUUUCACCAUAUGAGACCCGCCGGCGAAAAAAAGGAGUGUUCCGUUUGAAUGGCGGUGCGGCAGUGUGGAGACCUGCCGUAAUGGGGUAUUUCCCCGAGUCUGUCCCAUGCGGAGGCAGGACAGAUACAUUCAGCAUUAUGGCA
rnacentral:ncRNA from 1 species